rnacentral:rRNA from 1 species
UACGUAGGUGGCAAGCGUUGUUCGGAAUUAUUGGGCGUAAAGGGCGCGUAGGCGGUUUGUUAAGUCAGCUGUGAAAGCCCGGGGCUCAACCCCGGAGGGUCAGCUGAUACUGGCAGGCUAGAGUACAGAAGAGGUAACUGGAAUUCCCGGUGUAGCGGUGAAAUGCGUAGAUAUCGAGAGGAACACCUGCGGCGAAGGCGGGUGCUGGGCUGACACUGACGCUGAGGCGCGAAAGCUAGGGGAGCGAACGGG